UUGGUGUUCCUCCAACCCUGAGGUCCUAGA
rnacentral:piRNA from 1 species